rnacentral:rRNA from 1 species
UACAGAGGGGGCGAGCGUUGUUUGGAAUUACUGGGCGUAAAGGGCUCGUAGGCGGCCAACUAAGUCAGACGUGAAAUCCCUCGGCUUAACCGGGGAACUGCGUCUGAUACUGGAUGGCUUGAGUUCGGGAGAGGGAUGCGGAAUUCCAGGUGUAGCGGUGAAAUGCGUAGAUAUCUGGAGGAACACCGGUGGCGAAGGCGGCAUCCUGGACCGGCAUUGACGCUGAGGCGCGAAAGCCAGGGGAGCAAACGGG